rnacentral:rRNA from 1 species
AUUGAACGCUGCGGCAUGCCUUACACAUGCAAGUCGAACGGUAACAGGUCUUCGGAUGCUGACGAGUGGCGAACGGGUGAGUAAUACAUCGGAACGUGCCUAGUAGUGGGGGAUAACUACUCGAAAGAGUGGCUAAUACCGCAUGAGAUCUACGGAUGAAAGCAGGGGACCGCAAGACCUUGCGCUACUAGAGCGGCCGAUGGCAGAUUAGGUAGUUGGUGGGAUAAAAGCUUACCAAGCCGACGAUCUGUAGCUGGUCUGAGAGGACGAUCAGCCACACUGGGACUGAGAAACGGCCCAGACUCCUACGGGAGGCAGCAGUGGGGAAUUUUGGACAAUGGGCGCAAGCCUGAUCCAGCAAUGCCGCGUGCAGGAUGAAGGCCUUCGGGUUGUAAACUGCUUUUGUACGGAACGAAAAGCCCCGGGUUAAUACCCUGGGGUCAUGACGGUACCGUAAGAAUAAGCACCGGCUAACUACGUGCCAGCAGCCGCCGUAA